rnacentral:rRNA from 1 species
AAGGUUGNNNCUCAAAGGAAUUGACGGGGGCCCGCACAAGCGGUGGAGCAUGUGGUUUAAUUCGAAGCAACGCGAAGAACCUUACCAGGUCUUGACAUCCCUCUGACUGCUCUGGAGAUAGAGGUUUCCUUCGGGACAGAGGUGACAGGUGGUGCGUGGUUGUCGUCAGCUCGUGUCGUGAGAUNNNNNNNNNNNNNNNNCAACGAGCGCAACCCCUAUUGUUAGUUGCCAUCAUUCAGUUGGGCGCUCUAGCGAGACUGCCGGUAAUAAACCGGAGGAAGGUGGGGAUGACGUCAAAUCAUCAUGCCCCUUAUGACCUGGGCUACACACGUGCUACGAUGGCUGGUACAACGAGUCGCAAGCCGGUGACGGCAAGCUAAUCUCUGAAAGCCGGUCUCAGUUCGGAUUGUAGGCUGCAACUCGCCUACAUGAAGUCGGAAUCGCUAGUAAUCGCGGAUCAGCACGCCGCGGNGAAUACGUUCCCGGG